rnacentral:rRNA from 1 species
UACGUAGGGGGCAAGCGUUAUCCGGAAUUACUGGGUGUAAAGGGAGCGUAGACGGUAAUGUAAGUCUGGAGUGAAAGGCGGGGGCCCAACCCCCGGACUGCUCUGGAAACUAUGUUACUAGAGUGCAGGAGAGGUAAGCGGAAUUCCUAGUGUAGCGGUGAAAUGCGUAGAUAUUAGGAGGAACACCAGUGGCGAAGGCGGCUUACUGGACUGUAACUGACGUUGAGGCUCGAAAGCGUGUGGAGCAAACAGG